rnacentral:rRNA from 1 species
UACGUAGGGUGCAAGCGUUUAAUCGGAAUUACUGGGCGUAAAGCGUGCGCAGGCGGUUAUGUAAGACGGAUGUGAAAUCCCCGGGCUCAACCUGGGAACUGCAUUUGUGACUGCAUAGCUAGAGUACGGUAGAGGGGGAUGGAAUUCCGCGUGUAGCAGUGAAAUGCGUAGAUAUGCGGAGGAACACCGAUGGCGAAGGCAAUCCCCUGGACCUGUACUGACGCUCAUGCACGAAAGCGUGGGGAGCAAACAGG